ACUGAUUUCCUCAUAUGAACUGUAACUCAGUGAAAUCUUUGAAAUUGUUGCAUUUAUAUUUUUGUUCAGUAUAAUUCCACAUCGCUAAGUUCCCAUUACCAACAGUACAGCAGUAAGGUUGCCCAUUACCAACAGUACAGCAGUAAGGUUGCCCAUUACCAACAGUACUGCAGUAAGGUUGCCCAUUACCAACAGUAC